AUCCCAAAUUUCCAAUUUCGCAUCGUCUUCUUCUUCAUAAUUUUCCAAUUUUGCACGUCUACUUCUUCUUCACGGCUGAGUAUUAAAAAUCUCCAUCUUCUUCUUCACGUUUGAGCUUCUGAAAUCUUCUUCUCCACGUCGUCGUUCGUCACGCCGCCGUCUCUUCACGCUUCUCCAUCUUCGAAAAGUAACCAUCGGUCCUUCACUCCUCUCGUCUUCGCCGUUCUUGACAUUGGGGAAGCCCUAUCCCACGCCUGUUCUUGAAGACAUUCGAAAUUUGUUUUCACGCUCGUUCGAAAUUACCAUUCGAAAUCACCACCGGGGAUUAAUUCCAUCUCUUCACGCCUAUCUCUUCGCACUCGAUCUCUUCAUUCUGAAAAAUCCGCCGAUUGAAAUCCUCCAAACAAACACAUUUUGUUCUCUGCCACAAACUGAAUUAGAUUUACAAUGAUGGAUAACUCGUGGAUGCACAAGAGUAGAUUGUCUAAAGAUUAUGAGUUGGGUAUGGAAAACUUCAUCAAAUUUGGAUUUUCUAAUACAACUAGCUUCUAUAUUCGUUGUCCUUGUUUUUUUUUAAAAGGUAAUGAUAAUAUUAUACAACAACAAGGUGGACCUCAUAGCCUGAGGUCAAGGCACAAGAGCGAACAACACUCAUAGAACAAGUAGUUAGACAAACAACCCAUAAGUACCCAAAACAACCCCAUAUCUCGGGGACAAGAACCAAAACCAAAAGAAACCAACUAGUGUUCCAAACAUUAAAAGGACAAGAAGAAAAGAGAAAGACAACAAAGACAAUAAAGAGAAGAGAAACCCCACAGCCCAGGGACAAGCAAACGAAAAGCACAUUAAAUAAGACCAUGAACUCCAUCGAACCAAGAAAAAGCACGCGCUUUAAUACACGACCGAGUGAGCUGGAAUACAACCAUAGGCUCCCGAACAACACCUCCAUGAAGACGAUUAUUUCGCUCCUGCCAAAUGAAAUAAAUUGUAGCACACCAGAGAAGGCGCCACAGUUUUCUCCUCACACUCUUCCCAAUACCCUGAUUGCAAAUCCAAGAUAACCCCCCAAUAACCUAUUCUAUGAGAAGAUGACAUAAGCAAAAUGAUUCUCGACCAAAUCUCCCACCCAAAAGGACAAGAAAAAAACAAAUGAUCACGAGACUCAUAGUUCCCUCCACAAAGCAAACACGAUAAAGGAAUCGACCUAUCCCACCGACUUAACCUAUCUCUAGUACCCAACCUAUCCCUGAUGGCCAACCAAGCAUAGAAGGAGUGCUUAGGAAUAUUUCCCCCACCCCACAGUAAACUCAACCAGCCAACCCUACUACUAUGAGAACAAAUAGUCUCCCACGCACUGACGAUCGAAAAACUAUCAUGACUCCCCAGCACCUAGACCCACCUAUCCUCAACACUCGGACUCAGCCUCACACCCUGAAUUCUAUCCCAAAUGUCCAUCAAAUCCAAAGAAACAAGUGGUCACCUCCAAUCUCCAUCCCGACCCAUGAAAUCCACCAACCUCGCAUCCUGCCGACUACCCGCAUCAUAGAUCACCCUCUCCCCAAACUGUUGGAUAAUCGACCCACCCUGAAUCCAUGGAUCCAACCACACUCUACACUUCCUUCCAUUGCCCACCUCCAUUUUAACAUGAGCUUUAAGGAUAUCCCGCUUACGCAAGAUUGCCCUAAAGCACCAAGAUCGACCCACCCCCGCAUCGAUCUCCCACAACGAUCUCCCUUUAAGGAUAUAAGAUUCCACCCAAGCAACCCACAAACUACCAAAUUUAACUAGUAGCAAACAUAAUAUCUUCAACGUGCUUGCUAUAUUCUAAGAAGAUCCAUCGUGAAUAGCAAGACCUCCUUCAUCAAAAGGAAGACAAACCUCAUCCCAGGCAACUCUAGUAGAAAGGGUGUUAGAGAUCACUUGUAUGUUAAUGGUAUUGAUGAGAGUUAUAAAAUUUGGUUUUGGCAUGGGGAAGAACUUCCUAACUCAUCCUUCUAUGAAGAAUCUUCAAAGUUUGACGCUCAUACAUGUGAAGAUAAUGAUGUUGGAAGUGUAAAAGAAAUGAUUGAAGUUGCUCAUAAGAAGUAUUCAAAAGACCCAAACGGAUUUGAGAAGUUGCUUAUUGAUGUUGAAAAAUCAUUGUACGAAGGAUGCAAAAAGUACACAAAGUUGUCUACUCUAGUCAAAUUGUAUAAUUUAAAAGUUAGGUAUGGAUGGAGUGAUACUAGUUUUUCAGAAUUACUUGAAACUUUGAAGGAAAUUCUGCCUACUACCAAUGAGCUCUCGAAUUCAUUGUAUGAAGCAAAGAAAACAUUAGGUGCAUUAUGAAUGGAAUACGAAAAUAUUCAUGCAUGCCCGAAUAAUUGUUGUCUCUAUAGAAAAGAAUUUGCUAAUGCAAUUGAAUGCCCUAAAUGUGGUCAAUCAAGGUGGAAAAACGUCAAGGAUACAAAUGAAAGGAGAAACCAAAAUCCCUCAAAAGUGAUAUGGUACUCUCUAAUCAUUCCACAAUUUAAAAAGUUAUUCAAAAGGAAGGUUCAAAUGAAGUGGAUUUGGAUCGAGCCAUCAUGUGGAAGAAAGCUUGAGUUAACAAAAAAGGGGAGUAUGACAACGACGAUGUUCAACAAGUCGUCCAUAAAAUUGUAAGACUUUUUGUAGAUUACACAUUUGAACUAACCAUACAUAAGCAUUUCUAUAACUUAGAUUGAUUUUGUUACUGUUUUAGGAUAAGAUUUCAAUUAAUACAAAUUCAUCAUCUCAAAAAGGACACUCUUCUAAUGAUGUCUUAACUCAAGCAUUGGGUACAAAAGAGCAUCGUGGUCGUGUUCGUGGGGUCGGUGGGUAUGUUACUCCUACCACUUACUUUCAUUCUGUAAAAAAUACAUCAAAACGCAAGGAGGAGAUUAUACUUGAGAAUAAAGAACUUCGAAGGCACGUAAGCGAAUUAGAAGCACGUAUCCACUCAAACUUGUCUACACCAUUAUCUAGACAUGAAAGUUGUUCGAAGUCAAAUAUCUUAGAAGAGAGUGAGUCAAUGAAACUAAUCAAAGGGAAGAAUAAGUUGAUGGAUAAAAUCAAAGAGAAAAAGGUGGAGGAGAUUUAUGUAAAUGACGACAAAGUAGAGUUGGACAUCUUUAAGGAGAGAGACUUACUAAACAUGCCUAAGAAAUGAGAGGUUGUCUGUGAGUCGACGUCAAUUUUGCCAAUAGCUUUGAAGUCGAUUCUCAGAUACGCUGAGAAGAUAAUGGAGAAAGAUUCUAAUAUCACUAUUUCACUACCUGUUGGCAUUUUUGGUAUUACUCGAAAGACUUCUGUGCUCCGAGAGGACAUCAUUGACCUUGUAACAUGAAUGAGAUCAAAACAUUUACAUUGGUGGCCUAUAUGACGUACUUGUAUUCAUCUGUUCUUGGUUCGAAGGAAAAUGUACAAUACGUCUUUGUAGAUCUGUCCCUCACCUCUGCCGGACACUCACAAGAAUCUCGAGUUGGAAACUUAUACAGUAGAUUGAUGUUCUCAAAAAGUAACAAAAUAGUUCUUGCUUCUUUUAAUCCUGGGGGUCAUUGGGCACUGCUAGCCAUAAAUGCGUAUGAUGAUACAAUAUUCUACAUUGACUCACUAAGGACAACAUUGAAGUCAACUACAAGAUUGAGACACGAAGAUCAUACUCACAUGCAGAACUAGACCAGGUGCGAGUUGAGUUAGCUGAUUUUCUGGGUUCGUACAUAUGAUUGUGACCAAUAAUUUGUGAUUCUGAAGUAGGAAAGUUGAGUAGUUUCUUUCUGGCCAUAGCAUUGACCCUUUUUUCAACAUUUUAGGACGAAACUAAAAAACCCAGUCUGGAGCAUCAUUGUUUGACUUUUGUUGGCAAAAAAGCUUUAAUAUUACUCAAAAUUAGAUCACUCAGUAGUUAUAUGUGAACUUUCAAGACAUUUGACAUGGUUCUAAGUUGGGUAGUUUAUUUCUAGGCCACAACAUUGACCAUUUUUUCAACAUUUUAGGACGAAACUAAAAAAUUGAGUCUAGGGCAUCACUGUUUGACUUUUGUGGGAAAAAAACUUUAAUAUUACUCAAAAUAGGAGUACCCAGUAGUUAGAUGUGAACUUUCGAGACUUUUGACAUUGUUAUAAGUUGGGUAGUUUCUUUUUUACCGUAGCAUUGGUCAUUUUUUCAACGUUUUGAGACGGAACUAAAAAACUUAGUCUAGGGCAUCAUUGUUCGUCUUUUGUGGGCAAAAAACUUUAAUAUUACUCAAAAUGAGACCACCCAGUAGUUAGAUGUGAACUUUUGAGACAUUUGACACUCUUGUAAGUUGGGUAGUCUCUUUCUUGGUCAUAACAUUGACCCUUUUUUCAACUUUUUGGGACGGAACUAAAAAACUGAGUCUGUGACAUCACUGUUUGGAUUUUGUUGGCAAAAAACUUUAAUAUACUAAAAAUGAGACCACCCAGUAGUUAGAUGUGAAUUUUCAAGACCUUUGACAUUGUUCUAAGUUGAGUAGUUUUUUUCUGGGUCAUAGCAUUGACCCUUUUUUUCAACGUUUUAGGACGAAACUGAAAAAUUGAGUCUAGGACAUCACUGUUCGGCUCUUGUGGAUAAAUUUUUUUAAUAUUACUCAAAAUGAGAUCAUCCAGUAGUUAGAUGUGAACUUUCGAGACCUUUGACAUUGUUCUAAGUUGGGUAAUUUCGAUUAAGGAUCAAGCUAUUGUUGACCUCCCCGUCAUGGAUUGUAGAUUAUCAUUCUUUUUGUAUGUAUUUCCAUAAUUUUUUUAUUGUAUAAUGGUUUAAAGUAACGAGGGUCAUGCUAUAAAUACGUGUCUUGAGAGUUUUAA